UCACGUAUCCACGUAUAAACUUUGUGAACUGUUCCCUUUGGAACAAUGGGUGUGGAGACCGUUGCUGUGUGUCUUCAUUCCCAGCUAUUUGUUCCACUGCGGUAAAUCUCACAGCUUUAUUAUUAACGCUUUUGUUCGUCGAACUGAACUGUUGGGUGUCGGCUCACGCCGCAUCCAAGCGUUUUAACAA
rnacentral:misc_RNA from 1 species